UCAGUACAUACCUUUCAGAAGUAGAGAUGGAUUCUUUUUUUUUUUUUUUCCAUCCUGCCAAACAAGAAUGGAUAGCUGUAUGCUUUUUACUUUCUUAAGAAGAAGGGGCUGGCAAGAUGGCUCAGUGGGUAGAGUGCUUUCUGCUCAAGCAGGAAACCCUUUCUGUCUCCAACACCCACAUGAAAAGUCAAGCGAGUGAUGUAUACCUGUUUCUCCAGUGCUGGGAAGCAGAGGCAGGAGGAUCCCUGGAGUUUGCUGGCAGCUUAGACAAAUAGGGGAGUCCCAGGAGUCUGUCUUAAAAAUAAGGUACUGGGCAUUGAACCCAGGAUUACACAUAAGCUAGGCGAGCACUCUACUACUGAGCUGCAUCCCCAGCCCUGCUAUAAAGUUCGGAUACCUACCCAUGUGGAGCAAUUACAGUCAUGAAAUCCAUCCGGCAAGGAGGAAAGGAUCAGUGGCAAAUGUGCAAAUGCUGUUUAAGCUCCAUGUUCAGCACCCCCUCUUUCAACCUAUCAACUCAUCAGACAACCAAUCAACAAAGGAGUCCAUGAUCACCUCAACUUAACUGAGUGCAGACCAUGUGGGGAGCUGACAAAGUCCUGACUGGGAAUGAAUUCUUGACAAGGACCAGUGUCUCAGACUCUUGGGAACCGGCAAAGCUUCCCUCCAGGGGAGGCUUAGAAGCUUGGUGGGCAAAGCCUUCUGGUACAACUAUAGGUGUUUUCAAAGGAUUGCUCAGUGUGUGCAAAAACUAGACACUACCUCUUCCUCCUGAAGGAUGAUGGACUUAAGACUGCUCCACUACAGAGACCUCCUACUGAGACCAGCUAUCUGCCUUCUGGUGCUGUGUGUAAUAAAGAUGCUGAGGUUCCAAGUUGGUGCCUAGUCAGUAUUACUUCAUAAGACCAAGCAUGGCCCAUGUGACCCAGACUUUCCUUAUGUGUGUCUGUCCUUUCUUCACUGCCUUGUCACAUCAGUCAAGGAUCAAGCAAUACCUGACAUGUAAGGGAAUACAGAGACAUAAAAGAG
rnacentral:lncRNA from 1 species